UACAGAGACUGCAAGCGUUUAUUCGGAUUCACUGGGCGUAAAGGGUGCGCAGGCGGCCAAGUGUGUCAGGUGUGAAAUCCCGAGCUUAACCUCGGAACUGCGCCUGAAACUACUUGGCUAGAGUACUGGAGAGGGUAACGGAAUUCACGGUGUAGCAGUGAAAUGCGUAGAUAUCGUGAGGAACACCAGAGGCGAAGGCGGUUACCUGGACAGUUACUGACGCUCAGGCACGAAAGCGUGGGGAGCAAAAGGG
rnacentral:rRNA from 1 species